UGCAAGUUACAACAAUGUUUACCUAAUUAGUUAUGGAUACAAUGUAUCAAAACACUAAACUGUCGCUAAUGUCAUGAAGGCUUUCUGCAGAGAAAAUGAGCUCUGGAAAAACACUACCGUCAGUGUCUCCUCACAACAAUCAACCGCCGCCGACACCAAGCCUGGCGAAAAGAAAGAAGAUUCAAGAGAAGUCUGCAAUAAGGAGUCCAACAGACAGUGUGAUGUCCCCAUGUACAAGACAGCUCAUGAAGAAAGCUAUCAAGGACAUACCGUCAUCUCCCAGACCCAGACGGGAAGCGAAAGAGAACACUGCAAAUAAAUGAAUGACCUUUUUAUGUACAGUGUGAUGUCUUUACGGUAUUCCUCUCUCUGCUAAGAUGGUCAGAUCAAUCAAUCAUUGACACUUUCCUGACAUUAUAUACCGUCUUUUUAAGAUGU
rnacentral:lncRNA from 13 species